rnacentral:lncRNA from 1 species
AAUUUUCCACUCCCUAACCCACCCACAUGUGAUUGUGUCCUGAAUUCUUGGUGUGUGACGAUGAACCCCAGGGUGUAUACCCCAGACAGCACAGCCACUUCACCAGCAGGGACAGCAGCUGUCACAUGAACUGGAGAUGAACUGGAGGAGCAACGUGGAUGAACAGAGGCUAGAUUCCAGAGCCCAGAGACGUUAAUGGAUGUGCAGGAGAUGGAGAAAUAGAAUCUACAAGGAAAGUGAAACGAACAAGCUUGGAAAGCAGGAACGCUUCAAGAAUUUGAUGUACAGCAAGAUGGUUAUUUAUCAAAAAGAGAAAAGGGCAAGAAAAAGUUGGGGAAGCCAAGUU